rnacentral:rRNA from 1 species
GGUUUGAUCCACUGAUUGAACGCUGGCGGGAUGCUUUACACAUGCAAGUCGAACGUGGCAGCACGGACUGGCCUGUGGCGAGUGGCGAACGGGUGAGUAAUGUAUCGGAACGUGCCUAGUAGCGGGGGAUAACUACGCGAAAGCGUAGCUAAUACCGCACAUUAACCCUUCGGGGGAAAGCGGGGACCUUCGGGCUCGCACUAUUAGAGCGGCCGAUAUCGGAUUAGCUAGUUGUGUAAUGCCCACCAAGGCGACGAUCCAGCUGGUUUGAGAGGACGACCAGCCACACUGGGACUGAGAUACGUCAGACUCCUACGGGAGGCAGCAGGGGGAAUUUUGGACAACGGGGGAAACCCUGAUCCAGCCAUCCCGCGUGUGCGAUGAAGGCCUUCGGUUGUAAAGCACUUUUGGCAGGAAGAAACGGCACGGGAUAAUACUCCCGUGCAACUGACGUACCUGCAGAAUAAGCACCGGCUAACUACGUGCCAGCAGCCGCGGUGUAAUACGUAGGGUGCAAGCGUUAAUCGGAAUUACUGGGCGUAAAGCGCAAGGCAGGCGGUUCGAAAAAGAAAGAUGUGAAAUCCUGAUAGAGCGACCCUUGGAACUGCAUUUUUAACUACCGAGCUAGAGUGUGUCAGAGGGAGGUGGAAUUCCGCGUGUAGCAGUGAAAUGCGUAGAUAUGGAGGAACACCGAUGGCGAAGGCAGCCUCCUGGGAUAACACUGACGCUCGAUGCACGAAAGCGUGGGGAGCAAACAGGGAUUAGAUACCCUGUAGUCCACGCCCUAAACGAUGUCAACUAGCCGUUGGGGCCUUCGGGCCUUGGUAGCGCAGCUAACGCGUGAAGUUGACCGCCUGGGGAGUACGGUCGCAAGAUUAAAACUCAAAGGAAUUGACGGGGACCCGCACAAGCGGUGGAUGAUGUGGAUUAAUUCGAUGCAACGCGAAAAACCUUACCUACCCUUGACAUGUCUGAAUCCCGAAGAGAUUUGGGAGUGCUCGCAAGAGAACCGAACACAGGUGCUGCAUGGCUGUCGUCAGCUCGUGUCGUGAGAUGUUGGGUUAAGUCCCGCAACGAGCGCAACCCUUGUCAUUAGUUGCUACGAAAGGGCACUCUAAUGAGACUGCCGGUGACAAACCGGAGGAAGGUGGGGAUGACGUCAAGUCCUCAUGGCCCUUGCAGGUAGGGCUUCACACGUCAAGUACAAUGGCCGGACAGAGGUCGCCAACCCGCGAGGGGAGCUAAUCCCAGAAACCCGAUCGUAGUCCGGAUCGCAGUCUGCAACUCGACUGCGUGAAGUCGGAAUCGCUAGUAAUCGCGGAUCAGCAUGUCGCGGUGAAUACGUUCCCGGGUCUGUACACACCGCCCGUCACCAUGGAGUGGGUUUCACUAUAGCAGUUAGCCUAACCGUAAGGAGGGCGAUUACCACGGUAGGAUUCAUGACUGGGGUGAAGUCGUAACAAGGC